UACGUAGGGUGCAGGCGUUAAUCGGAAUUAGCUAGGGCGUGAAAGGCUCGUAGGCGGCCAACUAAGUCAUACGUGAAAUCCCUCAGCUUAACUGGGGAACUGCGUGUGAUACUGGAUGGCUUGGAUUUGGGAGAGGGAUGCGGAAUUCCUGGUGUAGCGGUGAAAUGCGCAGAUAUCAGGAGGAACACCGGUGGCGAAGGCGGUUCUCUGGGCAUUACCUGACGCUGAGGAGCGAAAGUGUGGGGAGCGAACAGG
rnacentral:rRNA from 1 species